rnacentral:rRNA from 1 species
CCUACGGGAGGCAGCAGUGGGGAAUCUUGCGCAAUGGGCGGAAGCCUGACGCAGCAACGCCGCGUGCGGGAAGAAGGCCUUAGGGUCGUAAACCGCUUUCAGGGGGGACGAAGCUUCCGGGGUUAAUAGCCUACGGGGUGACGGUACUCCCAAAAGAAGGUCCGGCUAACUACGUGCCAGCAGCCGCGGUAAUACGUAGGGACCGAGCGUUGUCCGGAAUCAUUGGGCGUAAAGAGCGUGUAGGCGGCCUAGUAGGUCUCGUGUGAAAUCCCGCGGCUCAACCGCGGACCCGCACGGGAAACCCCUAGGCUCGAGUCCGGAAGAGGAGAGCGGAAUUCCUGGUGUAGCGGUGAAAUGCGCAGAUAUCAGGAAGAACACCCGUAGCGAAGGCGGCUCUCUGGGACGGUACUGACGCUGAGACGCGAAAGCGUGGGGAGCAAACAGGAUUAGAUACCCUGGUAGUCCACGCCGUAACGAUGAUGCUAGUGUGGAGGUGUCGACUCCUCCCGUCGCCGACGACUACGCAUAAGCACUCCCGCCGUCGGGGUAGGUACCGGGCCGGCCGAACGGACGUAAAACCGUAACCGAAACGGAAAGUUAGUACGGCGUGAGACGUCGCCCGAACGGACGACCGACCGAGGGGAGGUAGG